CCCUGAAUCACCUGAACCUCCAACAGCCUGCUGCUGCUGCUGUUUCUGCACUAAAGACCCGCAGCUGCAGACCCCCGGAACUCUGCUCAUCAGCCAAUCACUCCACUGCGGCCCAAGAGCCAAUGGCAUUACAGCUGGAUACCAGCUGUCAAAAUAAAGAGGGACCAUUGAGAGCAUCCUAAGCAGCUGCAUCACUGCCUGGUUUGGGACCUGCACCGUCUCUGACCGCAAGACCCUCCAGCGUAUUGUGAGGACAGCUGAGAGGAUCAUCGGCGUCUCUCUCCCCUCCAUCACUGACAUUUACACCACCCGCAGCAUCCGCAAAGCAACCAGCAUUGUGAAUGACCCCACCCAUCCCUCACACGAACUGUUCUCCCUCCUGCCUUCGGGAAGAAGGUACCGCAGCAUCCGGUCCAGCACGACCAGAUUCUGCAACAGCUUCUACCCCCAAGCCAUCAGACUCCUCAACUGCAGAGACUGAACUGAUGGUUUUCAGUACAUGCACACACACUCUUACCCCACUUACCCCAGAAAAUGGAAAGCACUAAAAACCCUACUACCUCACUGGACUCUAUUGCACACUGUGUAAUAGAGUAAUUACUACCUCACCUGGUGUUUUUUGCACACUGCAAAAUUUGCACACUGUCUUGUUAUUUAGUAUUCUUUGUCUGUAUGGUGUUGUAUUUUCUGUCUGCACUUUUGUACUGUUGCACUAUUGUUCUGUCUACACUGUGUUUAUGUGCACCAUGGUCCUUGGAGGAACGUUGUUUAGUUUCACUGUGUACUCUGUAUAUAGCUGAAAUGACAAUAAAACCCACUUUGACUUUU